CUGCCGCAGUAUUCUGACUGUGCUAAGGUAGCAUAAUCAUUUGUUAUCUAAAUGAUAACUAGUAUGAAUGGUCUGACGAGAAAAUAACUUUCUAAAAAGAAAUAAUAAAAAUUUAUCUUAAAGUAAAAAAGCUUUAAAAACUUAGAAAGACGAGAAGACCCUAGAACCUGUCUAUCUGCAUAGUUUGUUGGGGUGACAUUAUUUUAAAACAAAUAACUAUUUUAACUCAUUAAGAGACUUAACCUAUCUUUUAAAAAAAAGAAAAAGGUACUCUAGGGAUAACAGCAUAAUCUUCUUUUAGAGCCCUAAUCGACAAGAAAGAUUUUGACCUCGAUGUUGAAUUGAUAUUCCUUCUUAAAGCAGA
rnacentral:rRNA from 1 species